UACGUAGGGGGCAAGCGUUGUCCGGAUUUAUUGGGCGUAAAGAGCGUGUAGGCGGCCAGACAGGUCCGUUGUGAAAACUCGAGGCUCAACCUCGAGACGCCGAUGGAAACCGUCUGGCUAGAGUCCGGAAGAGGAGAGUGGAAUUCCUGGUGUAGCGGUGAAAUGCGCAGAUAUCAGGAAGAACACCCGUGGCUAAGGCGGCUCUCUAGUACGGUACUGACGCUGAGACGCGAAAGCGUGGGGAGCGAACCGG
rnacentral:rRNA from 1 species